GGCUCAGGAUGAACGCUGGCGGCGUGCUUAACACAUGCAAGUCGAACGGGAUCCAUCAGGCUUUGCUUGGUGGUGAGAGUGGCGAACGGGUGAGUAAUGCGUGACCGACCUGCCCCAUGCACCGGAAUAGCUCCUGGAAACGGGUGGUAAUGCCGGAUGCUCCAUCACAUCGCAUGGUGUGUUGGGAAAGCCUUUGCGGCAUGGGAUGGGGUCGCGUCCUAUCAGCUUGAUGGCGGGGUAACGGCCCACCAUGGCUUCGACGGGUAGCCGGCCUGAGAGGGCGACCGGCCACAUUGGGACUGAGAUACGGCCCAGACUCCUACGGGAGGCAGCAGUGGGGAAUAUUGCACAAUGGGCGCAAGCCUGAUGCAGCCAUGCCGCGUGUAUGAAGAAGGCCUUCGGGUUGUAAAGUACUUUCAGCGGGGAGGAAGGGAGUAAAGUUAAUACCUUUGCUCAUUGACGUUACCCGCAGAAGAAGCACCGGCUAACUCCGUGCCAGCAGCCGCGGUAAUACGGAGGGUGCAAGCGUUAAUCGGAAUUACUGGGCGUAAAGCGCACGCAGGCGGUUUGUUAAGUCAGAUGUGAAAUCCCCGGGCUCAACCUGGGAACUGCAUCUGAUACUGGCAAGCUUGAGUCUCGUAGAGGGGGGUAGAAUUCCAGGUGUAGCGGUGAAAUGCGUAGAGAUCUGGAGGAAUACCGGUGGCGAAGGCGGCCCCCUGGACGAAGACUGACGCUCAGGUGCGAAAGCGUGGGGAGCAAACAGGAUUAGAUACCCUGGUAGUCCACGCCGUAAACGAUGUCGACUUGGAGGUUGUGCCCUUGAGGCGUGGCUUCCGGAGCUAACGCGUUAAGUCGACCGCCUGGGGAGUACGGCCGCAAGGUUAAAACUCAAAUGAAUUGACGGGGGCCCGCACAAGCGGUGGAGCAUGUGGUUUAAUUCGAUGCAACGCGAAGAACCUUACCUGGUCUUGACAUCCACAGAACCUUGUAGAGAUACGAGGGUGCCUUCGGGAACUGUGAGACAGGUGCUGCAUGGCUGUCGUCAGCUCGUGUUGUGAAAUGUUGGGUUAAGUCCCGCAACGAGCGCAACCCUUAUCCUUUGUUGCCAGCGGUCCGGCCGGGAACUCAAAGGAGACUGCCAGUGAUAAACUGGAGGAAGGUGGGGAUGACGUCAAGUCAUCAUGGCCCUUACGACCAGGGCUACACACGUGCUACAAUGGCGCAUACAAAGAGAAGCGACCUCGCGAGAGCAAGCGGACCUCAUAAAGUGCGUCGUAGUCCGGAUUGGAGUCUGCAACUCGACUCCAUGAAGUCGGAAUCGCUAGUAAUCGUGGAUCAGAAUGCCACGGUGAAUACGUUCCCGGGCCUUGUACACACCGCCCGUCACACCAUGGGAGUGGGUUGCAAAAGAAGUAGGUAGCUUAACCUUCGGGAGGGCGCUUACCACUUUGUGAUUCAUGACUGGGGUGAAGUCGUAACAAGGUAACCGUAGGGGAACCUGCGGUUG
rnacentral:rRNA from 1 species